rnacentral:snRNA from 1 species
CUUCUUUCUGGCCUUUCAGCUAAGAUCAAGCAUAGUAGCUGUUUUUUAUCAGUUUAAUACCUGAUAAGUUUUCUAUCUGAGGAUAAUUUUUUCCUCUAGACUUAAA